GAUGAACGCUGGCGGCGUGCCUAAUACAUGCAAGUCGAGCGAACAGACGAGGAGCUUGCUCCUCUGACGUUAGCGGCGGACGGGUGAGUAACACGUGGAUAACCUACCUAUAAGACUGGGAUAACUUCGGGAAACCGGAGCUAAUACCGGAUAAUAUAUUGAACCGCAUGGUUCAAUAGUGAAAUACGGUUUUGCUGUCACUUAUAGAUGGAUCCGCUCCGCAUUAGCUAGUUGGUAAGGUAACGGCUUACCAAGGCAACGAUGCGUAGCCGACGUGAGAGGGUGAUGGGGCACAGUGGAAGUGAGCCACGGUCCAGACUCCUACGGGAGGCAGCAGUAGGGACUCUUCCGAAAUGGGCGAAAGCUUGACGGAGCAACGCAGCGUGAGUGAUGAAGGUCUUCGGAUCGUAAAACUCUGUUAUUAGGGAAGAACAAAUGUGUAAGUAACUAUGCACGUCUUGACGGUACCUAAUCAGAAAGCCACGGCUAACUACGUG
rnacentral:rRNA from 1 species